CAAAAAAAAAAAAAAAAAAAAAAAAAAAACAAAAACAAACACUAAAUUUAAACAUUACCAGAGCAAGGAGGAGCACUCGCCUGUAAGUAAAUGGGAGAAGCAAUGUUCUUUCCAUACACAUACAGCUACCUACAAAGCUUCAUUCUAGCAGUGGAAUAUUAAAUAUUCUCCUGCACUUAUUACACAUUUCUUUCUUUUAAUAAUUUACACUUCUUACAUUUCUUACACAUUUCUUUCUUUUCAUAAUUUACACUUCUUAUACCUCUUACACCUAACACAAGAAUAUUUUCCUUUCCCAUAAACAUCUCUUUCAUAUUAUUGCACUAACAAUGACACAAUAGCAAUUUUUUCUGGCGUGGGAUUCUCACCCAUUAAAUUACUACAGUUUAAGUGUAACGAUUGAAACUUUGCGUUCGUGUGGGAAUCUUGCCAAAGAAUAUAUUCCAUUGUGACAUUGUUUCACUUAUAGUGUAACAUUCAACUCAAAGAGAGAGAAAAGAGAAUAUUGGUUUGUAAAGCUGCUGGACAACGACAAUGUUAAAAUAAAUUAAAAUUUAUUGGUUUGUUGCAGUCAUAGUGUAACAAUGCAUUUGUUACACUAUGACUGCAACAAACCAAUAAAUUUAAAUUUAUUGGUUUGUUGCAGUCAUAGUGUAACAAUGCAUUUGUUACACUAUGAAUAGAACAAAAGCCUUUGAAAUGUCAACAAAACACCAUUCUGGUAAAUACUUUUCACAUAACACUAUUUUGGGAAUUAUUUUUUCUCAGAACACCAUUUGGGGAAAAAGCCCUACAAAGUGCCAGUCAAUGGAUUUAGGCAGAGUCUUUUAUUCAAAUUGUCAGUCAAAAGAAAAAAGAAACCUAAGAAAUUGCAUAGCUUUUGUAAUUUUCCUCUCCUUAACAUUCCUAUGGUGUUUUUUGCUCUGCU
rnacentral:lncRNA from 1 species